rnacentral:rRNA from 1 species
UCCAGCGAACUUGGCAGAGAUGCCUUGGUGCCUUCGGGAACGCUGAGACAGGUGCUGCAUGGCUGUCGUCAGCUCGUGUUGUGAAAUGUUGGGUUAAGUCCCGNAACGAGCGCAACCCUUUAUCCUUUGUUGCCAGCGAUUCGGUCGGGAACUCAAAGGAGACUGCCGGUGAUAAACCGGAGGAAGGUGGGGAUGACGUCAAGUCAUCAUGGCCCUUACGAGUAGGGCUACACACGUGCUACAAUGGCGCAUACAAAGAGAAGCGACCUCGCGAGAGCAAGCGGACCUCAUAAAGUGCGUCGUAGUCCGGAUCGGAGUCUGCAACUCGACUCCGUGAAGUCGGAAUCGCUAGUAAUCGUGGAUCAGAAUGCCACGGUGAAUACGUUCCCGGGCCUUGUACACACCGCCCGUCACACCAUGGGAGUGGGUUGCAAAAGAAGUAGGUAGCUUAACCUUCGGGAGGGCGCUUACCACUUUGUGAUUCAUGACUGGGGUGAAGUCGUAACAAGGUAGGCGUAGCGAG